rnacentral:rRNA from 1 species
UACAGAGACUGCAAGCGUUAUUCGGAUUCACUGGGCGUAAAGGGUGCGCAGGCGGCCAAGUGUGUGAGGCGUGAAAGCCUGGGGCUUAACUCCAGAAUUGCACCUCAAACUACAUGGCUAGAGCAUUGGAGAGGGUAGCGGAAUUCACGGUGUAGCAGUGAAAUGCGUAGAUAUCGUGAGGAACACCAGAGGCGAAGGCGGCUACCUGGACAAUUGCUGACGCUCAGGCACGAAAGCGUGGGGAGCAAAAGGG